AUCAGUUCUACGUGCACAAACAGUCCAUUUCCAGUGUGAAAUUGAGUGUAAAAAGUGAAAAGACCGGUUUCGUUCACCAAGCUGUAUGUUGUGUGAUUUGUAGCGGUUUACAGUUCUUUGAUUAUUCUAAAACUAAGAAGUGUACAUCCCAUUACUCCACAGUCUAGUGCGACGCAAACAAGAACUGAAAAAGUUGAAACUCCCCACCAGUGCGUAGUACUAAAUCGUUAGAAUCAUACAUUUGUGAGACGAGACGCGAAGUUUGUUUCAAUAUUUUACAAAAGAGCCUCUUCUGUUCGAGUAAGUGCCGAGCAUACGUUCAUCCAAUUGCACAAGUUUUGUCCCGGAAAAAAAAAUGCAGCACAACGAGGAGAAGACGGUUGAUUUUCAGGCAUGCUGGGAUACAUUGGACGACCUAGAGCAUAGAAGUGCUAGAGAAAGAAAAUGCACAAUUGCUGCUGCAGACCAUGGCACACGUGGUGCAGCCAGGGCAGUUCCUGACUUUUUCAAACUCCCAGGCCCGAUCGUGUCUCUUUCGGUGUUUGAUGGAAAUGGGAAACAGAUGUGUGCGUGGUUGGUUAAUGGCUGCCGCUCGCACACUUGACUAUUGCAGCUGCACCGCAACGAAAGAAGAAAUAGAUUUUUACGAGCAGACGAUCAUACAUAAGAUCCAGGGUAGUGCUGGAGAUAUUAUUUGUGGUUGUGGAAUCCCAACAAAGCUACCAGAAGUAGCUGACAUUUUAAGAUCCAGCUACGGAGGCUAAAUACGACAUGGCCACCUACCUUAUUAAACUGUCGUCCAUUAGGAUCCAAAACUCAAUCCAUGUCUACAAUCGAAGAGUGCAAUUCAUCCUGGAAAUACUGAAGAACUUCGCCAGGCCAAACCCCCUAUACGCUCAACACUGGGUCAUCCUUUAUCCUCUAUACGCUAUCAACCCUAUAAGCCAUCAACCAAAACCCCCUGUUCGCUAUCAACCUUUAUCUAGACAUGUAAAGUCUAGCGGUAUUUUUGAACAGUUUCGAUAAGUCAUAUUUCGAUCUGUUUCGGCUUAUUGUGUUCCUGUAUCGUCUAGAAAACGUAUAUCGUAUCGUAUCGUAACGACCAUGACACCAACACCACAGAACAGCUCCAAACAAGUGGAUGGCGACAAACCGAUGGAAAAAAAAGCAAUAAAAAAUCCAACCAUCAGCGGCAAGACGAAGGACACUCAUAAGCGCAGCAGCGCCACAACGCCUCAGGCGAUUCAACAGGGAACAGCAGUGAACACAGGGGAACCGAUGGGAACAACCGAACGCAAUGAGCCACCAACACUAGCGGAAGCAGCAGCAGCAGUAGUAGCGGCAACCGGAUACGGCCGCAGACAUCGCGAAAUAGAUGCACCAACACGGAAGAUGAUAAGACAACUAACUCGUCAAUGUCGUCGGAUGAGCGUCGACGGCCGCGGGUCCGCGGUUGGGCAAAAGGAUGAAAAGAAAAGCUCGAAGUAGUUGCAGAAAUAUUUUAUCCAUUUCCAUCCAUCCAAAUUUUAAAUCUCAAAAAAAAAAGACAAACGGAAACGUGGUGAUAAUUGAAGUAUUGUGGUAACAAUCAAAAAAUUUUUUUUGAAUUGAUCAUUGAUUGGUGCAAAAAAUUAAGUAACCAUCUUAAUGCGACAAAAUUCCUUAUAUUAUUAAUUACGUUGCGCUGUUAGAAGAACAGAUUAAUGUUUGAUUUUGAUUCAAAACGCAUUCCGAGGCUGCAUCACUCUACGCAGAACCGAGUUAUUUUCUAGUGAGAGUGCUUCGACACUGCUGUGCGAUUAUCUGGAAACAGGAAUACCGUAAACGGAUAGUAACGAACUGUUCUGCGCGGACCUUCCGUCUGGUUCGUGCGAUUCACUAUUCCCUCUGUUUGUGGAAAUGGAAAAAGAGGGAAUUAUUAUUGUCUAUUUAUUUAUUAUUUUUGGUUUAUUCACAUCCGUUUGCUGAAAAGACUGCUUCGAAGUUUGUUACUUAAAAUUGAUACAAAGGAGAGCUACACGCCAAAGGAAAAACCACGAUAGCACGAAGAUACAAUAUGCGGAAGCGGGGAAAAACGCACAUGGCCAGGGAGCCGAAACCACAAGAUUUUUUUUUUCCAAUAAGCGAUUCAGAUUCGCAUAUAUAACUAACACAUUAAUAACCAACACUAACACCCAUAUAAUAAUCGAAAAAAGAGAGCUACCCGCAGCCUCUCAACAUCGUAAGCGGAAGCGAGAAAAUUUUAAAGCGAAGGACAUUUUUCGUUCCCUCCAAAAGUCAAGUUCGAGCAUUAAUAUCGCAUCGUCAGUGUCCACCCACCCAGGAGGCAUCAUUCCAGCAUCAAUACUUGUGUACGGAUUCUGCAUCCAUCGAGCUAGCUUGGUGCCAGCGAUCCAGCUUCAGAUUUCUGUUUCAGUAUUUCGCUUCUGAGAGUUCUUCUUACUACUAAUAAUAUACUAACCACAGCUUACUAGCAAUGCGUAUUGAAUAAACGCAAAUUCAU